AUUGAACGCUGGCGGCAGGCAUAACACAUGCAAGUCGAGCGAGCGGCGGACGGGUGAGUAAUGUCUGGGAAACUGCCUGAUGAGGGGGGAGAACUACGGGAAACGGUAGCUAAUACCGCAUAACAUCAGAUGUGCCCAGAUGGGAUUAGCUAGUAGGGGGGGUAACGGCUCACCAUGGCGACGAUCCCUAGCUGGUCUGAGAGGAUGACCAGCCACACGUCAACUGGGACACGGUCCAGACUCCUACGGUGGGCAGCAGUGGGGAGUAUUGCACGAGGGGCGCAAGCCUGAUGCAGCCAUGCCGCGUGUGUGAAGAAGUCCUUCGGGUUGUAAAGCACUUUCAGCGGGGAGGCGUUACCCGCAGAAGCAGCACCGGCUAACUCCGUGCCAGCAGCCGCGGUAAUUC
rnacentral:rRNA from 1 species